AACUCUUAGCGGUGGAUCACUCGGCUCGUGCGUCGAUGAAGAACGCAGCUAGCUGCGAGAACUAAUGUGAAUUGCAGGACACAUUGAUCAUUGACACUGACACUCGAACGCACUUUGUUCAGGUUCCUCCUGGGGCUACGCCUGUCUGAGGGUCG